AACACAUGCAAGUCGAACGAGGUCCAAUCCUUCGGGAGAAGACCUAGUGGCGAACGGGUGCGUAACACGUGACCAACUUGUCCCGGUCUCUGGGAUAACAGUUGGAAACGACUGCUAAUACCGGAUGACGUCGGAGCGUCGCAUGGCGCGCUGUCGAAAGGGUUACCGGAUCGGGAGAGCCUCGCGGCCUAUCAGCUUGUUGGUGGGGUAACGGCCUACCAAGGCAUCGACGGGUAGCUGGUCUGAGAGGAUGAUCAGCCACACUGGGACUGAGACACGGCCCAGACUCCUACGGGAGGCAGCAGUGGGGAAUCUUGCGCAAUGGGCGAAAGCCUGACGCAGCAACGCCGCGUGCGGGAAGAAGGCUCUCGGGUUGUAAACCGCUUUCAGAAGGAACGAAAAUGACGGUACUUUCAGAAGAAGUGACGUACUUUCAGAAGAA
rnacentral:rRNA from 1 species